rnacentral:lncRNA from 1 species
CGAUUCAUAUGAAAACUUUUUAAGUUAUCCACCAAAGCAAAUUAAUUAAAUCAAUCAAAUUGUUAGAAUACAACAAAUUAAUCUAUAAUUUUAUUUUAAAUUAAAUUAUUUAAAAAGUGUAUUUUCAUUAUAAACAAAAUAAUAAAUAAGUAAAACUGAUUUGAUGGUAAUUUUUAUGACAUAUAUAUAUAUAUAUAUGUAUAUUAUGUGAAAGAAAUAUAAGCUUAAUAUGGAAAAAAAUCUUAAAUACAAAAAACUCUAAAAUUAACAAAAAAAACCAA